rnacentral:rRNA from 1 species
UACGUAGGGUGCAAGCGUUAUCCGGAAUCAUUGGGCGUAAAGCGUCCGCAGGUGGCAUUUCAAGUCUGCUGUCAAAGGUCGGGGCUUAACUCCGAACAGGCAGUGGAAACUGAGAAGCUAGAGUAUGGUAGGGGCAGAGGGAAUUCCUGGUGUAGCGGUGAAAUGCGUAGAGAUCAGGAAGAACACCGGUGGCGAAAGCGCUCUGCUAGGCCAUAACUGACGCUCAGGGACGAAAGCUAGGGGAGCGAAUGGG